CGCGCCCCCCGACCCCCGGCCCGGCUCCUGGCUGCCCUCCGUGUGCCCCCCCCCGGGCCCCGUGUGCUGCCCGUCCUGCGCCGUUACUUCCCGGCUGAGUGCCGUCUGAGACCCCUCCCCGGGGUCCCACUGCGGGUGAACGUCCGCCUCGUCCUGCCCGGAUCGGUGCCGCGGGGAUGGAGGCUGCGCUUCGAGCCCCACGGGGGGCUGAACGUCACCCCCGGGCCUGGGGACGGCGAUGGGGACGAGGAUGAGGACGGAGAUGGCAGUGGGGAUGAAGGCUGAGGGUGAGUCGGGUGGUGAUGUGCAGCCCUCGGGUGUUGUGGUGUCACUGAGCCUGGCUGGUGUGGAGCCCAGGUGAUGUGGAGCCCAGGUGACACGGGGACGUGGAGCUGCCCGGUGACACGGUGACAUGGAGCACAGGUGACGUGGAGCCCAGGUGACAUGGUGACAUGAAGCCCAGGUGACACGGUGACAUGGAGCCCCAGUGACGUGGAGCUCACAUGACACAGUGCCAUGGAGCCCAGGUGAUGUGGAGCCCAGGUGACACGGUGACAUGGAGCUGCCCGGUGACAUGGAGCCCACAUGAGACAGUGACACGGAGCCCAUGUGACACAGUGACACGGAGCCCAGGUGAUGUGGAGCCCAUGUGACAUGGUGACAUGGAACUGCCCGGUGACACGGUGACAUGGAGCCCAGGUGACAGGGAGCCCACAUGACUCAGUGACAUGGAACCCAGGUGACACAGUGUCAUGGAGCCCAGGUGACAUGGAGCCCAGGUGACACGGUGACAUGGAGCUGCCCGGUGACAUGGAGCCCACAUGAGACAGUGACACGGAGCCCAGGUGAUGUGGAGCCCAGGUGACACAGUGACAUGGAGCCCAGGUGAUGUGGGGCCUGGGUGACACGGUGACGUAGAGCUGCCCAUGUGACAUGAAGCCCAGGUGAUGUGGAGCCCACAUGACACAAUGACAUGGAGCCCAGGUGAUGUGGAGCCCAGGUGACACGGUGACAUGGAGCUGCCAGGUGACAUGGAGCCCAGGUGACACGGUGACAUGGAGCCCAGGUGAUGUGGAGCCCAGGUGACACGGUGACAUGGAACUGCCCGGUGACACGGUGACAUGGAGCCCAGGUGACAUGGAGCCCACAUGACUCAGUGACACGGAACCCAGGUGACACAGUGACAUGGAGCCCAGGUGAUGUGGAGCCCAGGUGACACGGUGACAUGGUGACACAGUGUCAUAGAGCCCAGGUGACGUGGAGCCCAGGUGACACGGUGACAUGGAGCUGCCAGGUGACAUGGAGCCCAGGUGAUGUGGAGCCCAGGUGACACGGUGAUAUGGAGCUGCCCGGUGACAUGGAGCCCACAUGAGACAGUGACACGGAGCCCAGGUGAUGUGGAGCCCAGGUGACACAGUGACAUGGAGCCCAGGUGAUGUGGGGCCUGGGUGACACGGUGACAUAGAGCUGCCCAUGUGACAUGAAGCCCAGGUGAUGUGGAGCCCAUGUGACACAGUGACAUGGAGCUGCCAGGUGACAUGGAGCCCAGGUGACACGGUGACAUGGAGCCCAGGUGAUGUGGAGCCCAGGUGACACGGUGACAUGGAACUGCCCGGUGACACGGUGACAUGGAGCCCAGGUGACGUGGAGCCCAGGUGACAUGGUGACAUGAAGCCCAGGUGACACGGUGACAUGGAGCCCCAGUGAUGUGGAGCCCAGGUGACACGGUGACAUGGAGCAGAGGUGAUGUGGAGCCCAGGUGACACAGUGACAUGGAGCCCGGGUGAUGUGGAGUCCAGGUGACACGGAACCGAGGUGACAUGGGGUCUGCAUGGCACAGUGACACGGAGCCUGGGUGACACUGUGGCGUGGGACCCAGGUGACAGGGAACCAAGGUGACACAGAACCUGAGUGACACAGACCCAAAUGGCACGGAACCCAGGUGACACAGAACCCAGGUGACAUGGAGCCCUGGUGACAUGGGACCGGGUGACACAAUGCCUAUGUGUCAUGGAACCCACGCGACAUGGAACCCAGGUGACACGGAACCCGAGUGCUAUGGAACCCAGGGGACGCAAUGCCUGUGUGACACAGAACCCGGGUGACAUGGAAUGCAGGUGACAGAGUCUGUGCGGCACGACACGGAGCCUGGGUGACACUGUGACACGGAACACAGGUGACACGGAACACAGGUGACAUGGAACCCAGAUGGCACAGUGCCUAUAUGACAUGGAACCCAGGUGACACGGAACCCAGAUGUCACAGAACCCAGGUGACACAGUGCCUAUAUGACACAGAACCCAGGUGACACAGAACCCAGGUGACAUGGAACCCAGGUGACACAGAACCCCGGUGACAUGGAACCCAGGUGACACGGAACCCACGUCACAGUGCCUAUACGACACGGAACCCCGGUGACACAGAACCCAGGUGACACGGAACCCAGGUGACACAGUGCCUAUAUGACACAGAACCCAGGUGACACAGAACCCAGGUGACACAGUGCCCAGGUGACACAGUGCCUAUAUGACAUGGAACCCAGGUGGCACAAUGACACGGAACCCAGGUGACACAGUGCCUAUACGACACGGAACCCAGGUGACACGGAACCCAGAUGACACAGAACCCAGGUGACACGGAACCCAGGUGACACGGUGCCUAUAUGACACAGAACCCAGGUGACACAGAACCCAGGUGACACAGUGCCUAUACAACACAGAACCCAGGUGACAUGGAACCCAGGUGAUACAGUGCCUAUACGACACAGAACCGAGGUGACACAGAACCCAGGUGACACGGAACCCAGAUGUCACAGUGCCUAUAUGGCACGGAACCCAGGUGACACAGAACCCAGGUGACACAGAACCCAGGUGACACGGAACCCAGAUGUCACAGUGCCUAUAUGGCACGGAACCCAGGUGACACAGAACCCAGGUGACACAGUGCCUAUACGACACGGAACCCAGGUGCCACGAGCCCCCGUGCCGCACUGCUGGUGUCCGGAGGUGUCCGGAGGUGUCCGGAGGUGCCAGGAGGCGACACGAGCGGACAGCCCACGUUAUCAGUGCCCUCACAGCCACCCCCCUCCCCCCCCCCGACACCCACAGCGUGGGGCUGAGCGCGUGCUGUGCCCCCCCCCGGCCCUGGGGGCUCUGAUAAGGCCUUAUCACCGCCCCCACCCCACCCCACCCCCCCCCGAGGCGCUGCGUGCGCUCACGAGUGCUUUAUUGUAUAAAACAGUGGCAAACCAACACGAGUGGCCCCAAUUCGGCGUAUGGACAUUGGGGGGGGGGGGGGGGGUGGGACGGGACCACCCCCACAACCCCGCUGUGUCCCCACGUGACGUCACUGCGACGUGUCCCCUCCGUCCCCGUGUCGUGGUGAGUCCACGUGACGUCACUAUGACGCGUCACCUCCAUCCUCGUGUCGUGGUGAGUCCACGUGACGUCACUAUGACGCGUUACCUCCAUACUCGUGUCGUGGUGAGUCCAUGUGAUGUCACUAUGAGUCCAUGUGACAUCACUACAGUGUGUCAUCUCCAUCCUCGUGUCAUGGUGAGUCCAUGUGACGUCACUACGACGUGUCCCCUCCAUCAAUGUGUCACAGUGUGACAUACCCUCGUGUCGUGGUGAGUCCACGUGACAUCACUAUGACGCGUCACCUCCAUCCUCGUGUCGUGGUGAGUCUCCUCCAUCCAUGUGUCCACAGUGUGACACGUCCUCGUGUCAUGGUGAGUCCACGUGAUGUCACUGUGUGUCCAUGUGACAUCACUGUGACUUCUCCCCUCCAUCCUUGUGUCGUGGUGAGUCCAUGUGACAUCACUAUGACGUGUCGCCUCCAUCCAUGUGUCACGGUGUGACACAUCCUCGUGUCAUUGUGAGUCCACGUGACAUCACUGUGACGUGUCCCCUCCGUCCCCGUGUCGUGGUGAGUCCACGUGACGUCACUAUGACGCGUCACCUCCAUCCUCGUGUCGUGGUGAGUCCCCUCCGUCCAUGUGUCACAGUGUGACACGUCCUCGAGUGUUGUGAUGAGUCCACGUGACAUCACUAUGACACGUCACCUCCAUCCAUGUGUCACAGUGUGACACGUCCUCGUGUCAUGGUGAGUCCACGUGAUGUCACUAUGAGUCCACGUGACAUCACUACAGUGUGUCACCUUCAUCCUCGUGUCGUGGUGUGACACGUCCUCGUGUCAUGGUGAGUCCACGUGACAUCACUACGAUGUGUCCCCCUCAUCCUCGUGUCAUGGUGAGUCCACGUGAUGUCACUGUGAGUCCAUGUGACAUCACUACAGUGUGUCCCCUCCAUCCUUGUGUCGUGGUGAGUCCACGUGACGUCACUAUGACGCGUCACCUCCAUCCUCGUGUCGUGGUGAGUCCCCUCCGUCCAUGUGUCACAGUGUGACAUGUCCUCGUGUCAUGGUGAGUCCACGUGACAUCACUACGAUGUGUCCCCAUCAUCCUCGUGUCAUGGUGAGUCCACGUGAUGUCACUGUGAGUCCAUGUGACAUCACUAUAGUGUGUCACCUCCAUCCUCGUGUCAUGGUGAGUCCACGUGACGUCACUACAGUGUGUCCCCUCCAUCCAUGUGUCAGUGUGACACGUCCUCGUGUCAUGGUGAGUCCACGUGAUGUCACCAUGAGUCCACGUGACAUCACUAUGACGUGUCCCCUCCAUCCUCGUCUCAUGGUGAGCCCACGUGACAUCACUAUGACGUGUCCCCUCCAUCCUCGUGUCGUGGUGAGUCCCCUCCGUCCAUAGUGUCACAGUGUGACACGUCCUCGUGUCAUGGUGAGUCCACGUGAUGUCACUGUGAGUCCAUGUGACAUCACUGUGACUUCUCCCCUCCAUCCUUGUGUCGUGGUGAGUCCAUGUGACAUCACUGUGACGUGUCCCCUCCGUCCCCGUGUCGUGGUGAGUCCACGUGACGUCACUAUGACGCGUCACCUCCAUCCUCGUGUCGUGGUGAGUCCCCUCCAUCCAUGUGUCACAGUGUGACACGUCCUCGUGUUGUGGUGAGUCCACGUGAUGUCACUAUGAGUCCACGUGACAUCACUACAGUGUGUCACCUCCGUCCUCAUGUCAUG
ensembl:lncRNA